GAACGUACCCAGUAAUGGGGGAUAACUAACCGAAAGGUUAGCUAAUACCGCAUACGCCCUACGGGGGAAAGCGGGGGAUCGCAAGACCUCGCGUUAUUGGAGCGGCCGAUGUCCGAUUAGCUAGUUGGUGAGGGAAAGGCUCACCAAGGCGACGAUCCGUAGCGGGUCUGAGAGGACGGCCCGCCACACUGGAACUGAGACACAGUCCAGACUCCUACGGGAGGCAGCAGUGGGGAAUUUUGGACAAUGGGCGCAAGCCUGAUCCAGCCAUUCCGCGUGAGUGAAGAAGGCCUUCGGGUUGUAAAGCUCUUUCGGGCAGGAACGAAACGGUUUGGGCUAAUAYCCUGAGCUAAUGACGGUACCUGAAGAAGAAGCACCGGCUAACUACGUGCCAGCAGCCGCGGUAAUACGUAGGGUGCGAGCGUUAAUCGGAAUUACUGGGCGUAAAGCGUGCGCAGGCGGUUUUGUAAGACAGAUGUGAAAUCCCCGGGCUCAACCUGGGAGCUGCGUUUGUGACUGCAAGACUCGAGUGUGGCAGAGGGGGGUGGAAUUCCACGUGUAGCAGUGAAAUGCGUAGAGAUGUGGAGGAACACCGAUGGCGAAGGCAGCCCCCUGGGUCAACACUGACGCUCAUGCACGAAAGCGUGGGUAGCAAACAGGAUUAGAUACCCUGGUAGUCCACGCCCUAAACGAUGCGAACUAGGUGUUGGGGAAGGAGACUUCCUUAGUACCGCAGCUAACGCGUGAAGUUCGCCGCCUGGGGAGUACGGUCGCAAGAUUAAAACUCAAAGGAAUUGACGGGGACCCGCACAAGCGGUGGAUGAUGUGGAUUAAUUCGAUGCAACGCGAAAAACCUUACCUACCCUUGACAUGCCUGGAAUCCUGCUGAGAGGCGGGAGUGCCCGAAAGGGAACUGGGACACAGGUGCUGCAUGGCUGUCGUCAGCUCGUGUCGUGAGAUGUUGGGUUAAGUCCCGCAACGAGCGCAACCCUUGUCGUUAAUUGCCAUCAUUCAGUUGGGCACUUUAGCGAGACUGCCGGUGACAAACCGGAGGAAGGUGGGGAUGACGUCAAGUCCUCAUGGCCCUUAUGGGUAGGGCUUCACACGUCAUACAAUGGUCGGUACAGAGGGUCGCCAACCCGCGAGGGGGAGCCAAUCCCACAAAGCCGAUUGUAGUCCGGAUCGGAGUCUGCAAC
rnacentral:rRNA from 1 species